ACUUAAGAAUAAUAACCGUUCUCCUUGUAAUUAUCGUAGUGCUAAUGUGCAUUAACCUUUUCUUCAAAUUAUACAAAGUGCACAAUAGGUGCUUAAAGAAAAAAUAUAUGAGUCGUGCAAACGACUUAGAUAAAACAUAAAAAAAAAAAAACGAUAUUUUCUUUUUACUUUUGAUCUCUCCUCAAUAAACUCAAUGGCUACGAACAAAGCGAUAGCUGAAGUAUAUUUACGAGACCCACAUUUUAGGGAAAGAGUUCAGCAAUUAGUAACUGCAACUGCAAUAAGUAUGUAUAUACCAACUUAUGUUUCUAUAUUUGGAUACUUUCAAUCUCGAUCACUCACCUCUGAUACAUUGCUCAUAAACGCAAAAAGGAAUAGUAUUAAGUACUAUUCCUGGUAUACAAGUGAAAUCAGUAAUUAAAAAACACCCAAUAUUAGGCAGAACGUUAGAUUUAGAUGUAGCAUUCAAAAAAACACUCAUCAAUUAGAACACCCUAUUAUAGGCCCGACCGACAUUAUUAUUGUGCGUUUUCACAGAUAAAUUAAACAUGUCAAUAAAUGGACUGGAGGCAAAUCGUUACCAUUCUUAGGCGUUGUUUCUAAGUUUUAUAAAUCCUUCAAGUGACUCAACCCGAGUUUUAUAAAUCUUUCAAGUGACUCAACAAAAGAGUACCAAUUUCAAACGACACAAAAUUAAAACACGUUAAAAUUCUUGUAGAUUCCUACAAUAUCAGCCGCAAACUUAUAUGUGACAAUGCAACAAAAUUAAAAGAUUUGCAUGUAACACAGACAGUUGAUGCACAUUAAACAUUAAACGAAUUUCGGAUAGGCAUAAAAUAACAAUAUUCCUUCCAAAAUUCACUUAACACUUCAGCGUCAUUCGACGAGAAAUUACUUUCAAUGCCAGCUGAUACCAAACCAUCAGAAACUGAAGUAAAUACCCCAUCAAUUGACAACACAAACAGCUUAAAGUUUUCUCAAACAAGCCUAAUCGCUCUUACCAGAGUUUGAUAGAAAGGCAGAAAACUUACAAAGCUUCAAAAAUGCUUUUAGUCUUAUAGACUCACUAAAAGAAGAUCAUGAAGCAACAGCUGUCAGUCUUAUAAAGACAAAACAAAAAGCCCAAGCAGUAAAGGCAAUGACCAAAAACUGUGCAAUCGAUAAGAAGUAAUUAUAGAUGCCGACCAUACAACAGAGGCGGCUACAUAAAUAACAACAAUAACUGAGGCAAUCCUCGAGGCGGCUCAUAUAGAGGCGGCGCAAACAGAGGACACACGCAGCAAAACCAGAACCGAGUUACACAAGGCAACUCGGAAAACCAUCAAACCCCCUUGAGCAACGAACAAUAAAAAUAUUGCAUAUAAAUCUAAGUCUCAGUAGUCUCAUCAAAAUACACAAUGGAAAAAAUUAUAUAUCAUUAACUCUGUUAGAAGAUACAGGAGCAAAUGUCUAAAUUUUAAAGAAUAAUAAAAUAGAUUAAAAUAUA